GCAGACACAUUCCAGCCAAUCAGCAGCAGACCCUCCCUCCCAGACCCUCCCACCUGCUGGACAGCAUCCAUUUUACAUUCAUUGUGAAGCUGCAUUCUUAGUGAGCUGUCCAGGAGGUGGGAGGGUCUGGGAGGGAGGGUCUGCUGCUGAUUGGCUGGAAUGUGUCUG
rnacentral:miRNA from 1 species